ACAUGGUGUACAAUCUUUUUAAGCUUACAAUGUAACUCAUCGUAUCUUUACUCUAUCUUAACCCUAACAUCCUCGACAAAACAUCAGAUGCCGUCAAACCCACAUCUAUUCUAUCUCUCUUCUUACUUGCUUCAGUUUCCGGUGGACCUUCAGUACCACCACCCUCUCCACUCUCCUUCCGCCGCCGCUGCAAGCUGUAGAAGGUAACCGGAGAUCCCUUCAUCCAUUAAGUGUUAUGUGCUCAAUCAAAUGCUCAUCCUUCUACACUGGAUGAUCGACACCCUACAACACUACUUUUCUCUACCUUUGUUUCUCCUCUCAAAACCAUAAUCGCACAUGUGUCUGCUCAAGAAAACAAUAAUGAACAUCCAGCUUUUAAAACCCUAAUAUAGCCACCGUUAUCGUCACCCCCUCUAUCGCUCAUAUUCUACCUUCUUUCAAGACGAGAAACCCUAAUCCUAUCAUGUUAUCACCAUCAACACCAACGAAUAUGUUUCUACCUUCUGUCUCAGGCUGCACACCAGUUGAAGCUUAGUCAUCUGAGAAGUUAACGAGAUUAAAGAGAUGUUUUUUGUUCUGAGGAUACUUUUAAAUUAUAGCUACAGGAAGCGAUUCUUUGAUCUUACAAGAAGUAACAUCAAAGAAAGAUCAACAGCAAUACUGGAUAACAAAAAAUGAAGCUUACAGUUUUGAAUAUUCUUGCUCGGAUUUUAGAUUCUAGCAAACUAAUGAAAUUAAAGGGAGAAAUAAGCUUGCUUCUUUGACAUAUAUUUUUUAAACUUAAAAUCCUGAUGGGUAUUAUGUUUUUUUAGUUACAAGGGCAUAAAUGGUAAGGGGAAGAUGCUAUUAUGAGAAAAAUUACAGGUUUGGUGUUGUUAGUUGUUGUGUUCUACAAGGGAUUUGAAGUUUGUAGUAAGAAUGAGCUUCUUGCAAAAGAACGUGUUGAGUUUAUCAAAUUAUUGCAGCAAGCCCAGAGUGAGGCUGCAUCUGCAUUUGGAAAUGAUGGUGCUCAUUUAGAAAAAUAAAUCCAAAAUCCAAGGCACAUUGAGUUCCUCUUUGGCUUCUGGUCUUGCAAUUGCUUCUCCAACAGAACAAAGAACUCAAAAUUUCACAGUUGAGGUUUUGGGACGAUUUGAUCAUUGAGUUGGAAUCGGGAAGACUGCUACACUGCUUCAUUGCGUUUCUUGACACGGAUUCAGGUUCUCUUUACUUCUUUUAUAUUUUGUAACUUCAAAUGUGUAUAAUAUUUUAUUUCUUACUUAUAUUUGAAGUGAUAAACUUCUUUUGUUUCAACUGUUGAUAUUAUUCUGUCUUCUAUCUAAAUUGAUCACUCUUCUUAUUCUUUAUCUCAAAUAAUACAUGUAUAUAAUUUGUAUA